UUCCUUCUUCAUUGGAUCAUCUUUUAUCAGAACUCUCCACUAUGAACUGACCAUCUUGGGUAACCCUGGCAUAGUUCAUAGUUUCAUUGAGUUGCACAACUCUUCUGCAAUGAUCCAGGAGAAGUUUCCCUCAAUUAUGAAACCGAAGAAUUUUGCUUGGAAGUGAAAUGUAAUAAUUCAGCAACUAAUUCAAAGAAUUCACCUUCUCUUUUUUAAAAGUAAGAAAAGUAUUUGCUCAUAUGCAGAGCAGAGGUCACUUGAUAAAGACAGAGAGCUUUCAUCAGACUUGUGUGACUGCAUAGAAAAUUCAUCAGCCAAUUUGAAUUUUUAAAAGACAGAAGCUGUGACUUGGUCCCUAAGGGAGAAGGAAAGCCACAGCAAACUCUAAAUAAACAUCUUCCACAGCCUGAGUUUUCUCCCAGACCCCCUGAUGAAAGGAGCCUGGUUAGAACAGAGGCUGGGCGGAGCCCAGUUAAUAUAUGACAGUCAUUAUCAGAGUUGUUAGGAAUGGGAAAGAAGGCAAACCAUAUUCUGCUACAUCCAAGGGACAAACCACUGUAUUUAAAGAAGGAAAAGCUCACACAUUCCAUCACAAGAGAAUGAGGACUAUUACUUGAUGAGGAAGCUGAGGCCCCGAGGGAGGAAGUAAUUUUCUCAAGAUUCCAACUGUAUCAGCAUUGGAGUCAAAAGAUGGAACCCUUUCCAGAUUUGCCCAGAAGGCUCACAUGGUGACUAAUGAAGGAUGGAAUGGAAAAUCAGUCCCUUGAGACAAGGGGACCUUAUUCAACAGAGGGGUGCUCUCAUUUUUAAUGUUCCAUCCUCACUUUAUUUAGCUGUACUUUUAAGAAUCCACUUUUAGUAGAGUACAGUAAAUAUUCUAACUGAAAAGCAAAAAUAA